rnacentral:rRNA from 1 species
UCUGGCUAUGGGUCCGAGUUGUAAUCUGUAGAGGAUGCUUUUGGCAAGACGCCUUCUGAGUCCCCUGGAACGGGGCGCCAUAGAGGGUGAGAGCCCCGUACGGUUGGACGUCGCGCCUCUGUAAAGCACCUUCGACGAGUCGAGUAGUUUGGGAAUGCUGCUCAAAGCGGGAGGUAAAUUUCUUCUAAAGCUAAAUACCGGCCAGAGACCGAUAGCGCACAAGUAGAGUGAUCGAAAGAUGAAAAGCACUUUGAAAAGAGGGUUAAAAAGCACGUGAAAUUGUUGAAAGGGAAGCGUUUGUGACCAGACUUGUUCCCGGCGGAUCAUCCAGCGUUCUCGCUGGUGCACUCCGCCGGGUUUCAGGCCAGCAUCGGUUUCUUCGGAGGCAUAAAGGCCCUGGGAACGUAGCUCUUCGGAGUGUUAUAGCCCAUCGCAAAAUACCUUCAGGGGGACCGAGGCCCGCGCAUUGCAAGGAUGCUGGCGUAAUGGUCACCAGCGACCCGUCUU